rnacentral:lncRNA from 1 species
UCAUAUUUAUGUAGUAGAAUGCUUAUGUUUUCAGACUUUGUAAUGAUUUCCUUUGGAUGUAUUUUAAAUCAAUCGGUCUGGGUAACAUAUCAGUUUAGAUUAAUAUGUGCUUAAAAGAAGAAAAAAAUUCAAUGGUUCAUAGUAGAAAUGUGCCACACUUAAAUAAGCUCUGUAUGACAUGAAAUUCUGUUAAAACAUUGUAAUUCAUGGUGACUUUUAACUUAUAAAAAUACUACUUGCACGGGUUACUUGAUUUAUGGAUAUAUGAAAACUUCUCAGGACGAAAGUUCUUCUUUCUCUAGAACUAUUCUUCUGUCGGUCAUGCAGAAUGCUGUUAUUCUGAAAAGUGUCCCUGUUGCAUAUGAUGGUCACUUUAUUUGGGGGGAUUCUUCAUAAGAUGUGAGAUGUUGAUGCCAGUCUUUCCCAAGUAAGUGCUCGUAAAAAAGGACUACUAACUAGCCUGCAUCUGUCUCUAACUGGGACCAAGGGGUCUGCUGAAGGAAACUGAAGAGCUCUAACAUUUUCACAGCUUGGAGAAGAUAGAAUCUUUAAAAGUACAACUGAAGCUUGAUCUAUUUUACAAGUGCAUUGAUGGCCCCUGUCCUUCUCUGGUUCCUGUCAUUUGAAACCAACUCCUGUUGUAAAUAGGAAGAAUAUGGGACAUUCAUAUUUAAGAAAAUUUGAUGUCAUUAGGUGACUAAGUAGAAGGCUUAGAAAAAUGUAUUCAUUUGCAAGUAUUUUGGCACAAGAAAUUUUCCAACUGAAUAGUAAGCAAAAGCUAAGUUGUUUCAUUGAAAUCAUAAGGCAGUUUAAGAUAAACUGGAGAAGAUAACUGUUCUAAUAGAGGAUAAUCGAAUUGAUUGUCAAGUGGAUGUUAUUUAUUGGAUAGUGACAGAGUUUAUUUGUAACCUUAAUUAUAUUAAAAGUUAUUCUGUUAGGAUGUUUUGUAUUAAUAAACGUGAACAAAAUUAAUCGUGCUGUUUAUGUGUCUUACUAAAAUAACAGUGCCCAUUUUUUCAUGUUAACGGUUAAUAUUCAGUUCUAUCCAGUCUUAGUCCACGUUUUAACUUGUCCAUGUGUACAUUUGAAAAAAACCAUUGUUAAAAUAAUUAUAUUUAUGUUUAUUAAUCACUGAUAACAUAAUCACAAGACUUACUAAUGUUACUGAGGGUUCUUACCAGAAAACAGUGAGACUGUAACAGUUCUUGGCAGAGGGACUAAGGUUGGGAUUCUAUGUAGUAGAAUGGACAGUGAUAGCAGUGAAGCCAAGCAGGCAGUAAAUAAAACCCUUCCGUAAGAGAGGAGCAGGUUCGGGUGCUGCUCUGCUGCUGCCCCUCUGCAUGGAAGCACUGCCUGAGGCCUAGUAUGGGCUCUUUACGUUCAAAGUUUUGUUCUUUGUAAACAUGGGAGUUUCAAGCGUGAAGGGGGUAAAGUGCUGCAGUUACAAAGUUUUGAUGUAUAAAUGUCUGUUGUAGAGGGAAUGAGCUAGUAAAUUAUUUUAAAGUCCAGUUUAGCUCAUGUGCCCAUCAGUUAGUAAAUGUGAAAAGCACAUUUUUCCUAAUGUCAUUUUAAAUUUUAAAAUAAAUAUAUUAUCUAAAACAAAAUGAGAAGAUGGUGUUAUUUGCAUGUAAUAUAAAUAAAGGUGUGUGCAGUUUUCAAAG